CUCCAGAACCAUGGGGACCGGGACCUUAUCAUCGACCAGGCGGCAUACACGCACGCCAAAGUGCUGACAACCAGAGUCCUCUUCACUCUGGACCAACCGUGCAGAAACAGGAGAAAACGGAAUAACGAGCCUCUGACUUUCAAGUCUUACCUCUCGGGAGUGUGAGGAUGGGCGUGAGGGCCUUCGUCCUGCGGUGACCUUUUCACACUGCCUACUCUUCCUCCAUGUGGACCCUCCACAACACGAGGCAUGGGCUGUAAAGGGAUAGAGAAAUAACCUCAAACACUUAUAGCGCUGUUUCACAAGAUGUGACGUGACAAGUCCGACAAUCAUAAGCACAAUGCAUUUACAGUUUGAAAAUCAGUUAGCACCACCACCACCACGAUUAUAAUCUGCCUUUAUUAUCCACACCGCACACCUAAAAGCACAGUAUGUUAAUAAUAUGCACACAUUUUUGGAUGGAAAUUAGAACAUAAUUCGCAUUUUGAAGACAGAAACGAAGCCUUAUUUCAUCCUAAAAAAAAGAAUGAGGUUAAAAUCUCAAUUAUGCAUCAAGACUGGGCGUAGGUUUUUGUCCACACCCACCACCUUUCAGACACCAACUUUACAUUUGUCAUUAUUUUGAUUAGAGAAGGAAUUUUUCUCAAGCUAUGUGUCACAUUAAAAUAAACAGAUGUCAGCCACUUGGUAAAAGAGCUUUAUGUUAAUAAGG